GUGCCAGCCGCCGCGGUAAUACGGGAGUGGCAAGCGUUAUCCGGAAUUAUUGGGCGUAAAGCGUCCGCAGGCGGUCCAGAAAGUCUGCUGUUAAAAAGUGGAGCUUAACUCCAUCAUGGCAGUGGAAACUUCUGGACUAGAGUGUGGUAGGGGCAGAGGGAAUUCCCGGUGUAGCGGUGAAAUGCGUAGAUAUCGGGAAGAACACCAGUGGCGAAGGCGCUCUGCUGGGCCAUAACUGACGCUCAUGGACGAAAGCCAGGGGAGCGAAAGGGAUUAGAUACCCCUGUAGUCCUGGCCGUAAACGAUGAACACUAGGUGUCGGGGGAAUCGACCCCUCCGGUGUCGUAGCCAACGCGUUAAGUGUUCCGCCUGGGGAGUACGCACGCAAGUGUGAAACUCAAAGGAAUUGGCGG
rnacentral:rRNA from 1 species